AGUGACGGCAGGCUGAUGGACUCAUGAAGCAUUCCUUGUCAGAUGGUUUUCAUCAGGCUGGUGUUAGUGUGAGCACACUGAGGGCCCAGGUGGCUGUCUGCAUACUGUGGAGAGCAGGAGCACACUGCAUGAGCAACUGUUCCUGAAAAGUCUCCUGCACGGUGUCUGGAAUUAGAGUAAACUCAUUUCGUGCUAGUCUGCAGUUCCAAGUUGCACUGCAAGGUGGAUGACGAGAAGGGAUUGUCACCAUGCGUCGACCAGUUAGGAAAGUUUUCACUGUAUACCCACCCUAUGAGUGCAUGUCUCUUAGGAGCAAACAGUACCUCACUUGAAGCCCAGGGGCAUGGAUGGAUCACACUGUGUCUAGGAGCUCCUCAACUUGCUCCCGCGUUCCAUGUGUUACGACUCUAACGGGUCUGCAAUGCUAGGUCGAAGCCAAGGCUUCACCUAUUUGGUUGUGGGGGGUGGGCACGUCAAUCCAUGUCAUAGCCAUUCACAUCUUGGUCUUGGCUCAUGGCUGUAGGCAGCUUCAGGAUCACUGCAUGUUGUACCAUGACUCUCUGGACUUCUGCAUUACCAUUUGUUGGAGUGCGUGUUCCCUGACUGCCUGAGCUGCCGGAAAUGUUCCAGGGUAUGAAAGUCAGGUCUGCCUGAACUAGUGGUGUGUCUGACUAGCCUUCUCAAACCUGUUGCUUUCCUGCCGGCUUGAAGACAGUUGCACUGCGUGGCAAAAUAUUCCAUAAGCACAUCCCUGGAGGAGACAACAAGUGAGAGCUGGCUCCCUGUGCAGCUGAAUAGUCCCCAAAGCUUGGGACAUGCAGAAAGGUAUGAGUGCUGGCUCUCCCAGCUGUGAAGGGGUCCUAGUCAUUCUGUGGGAAGCUGCGAAGUUUCAAUGCAGGCUCGAUGCGGCUGAACUGGAUACUCCAAACUUCUGCCAUUUGAUGUCUAGACGAAGGGUCUUAUUAUUUACUUCUUAGGCCCUGGCCCUUUGUUCACUAGGGCAGGUAGGGACAGGGGGUGUUUACUGUGUAGCCCAGUGGUCCUCAUGGUAGUGCAGACCAGCAGCUGCAUGGAGGGUUUAGAUUUUCUACGUGCUGGCCAGUACUCGACAGACCUCCAUGUGACUUGUCCUUGAGGCCAGCAUUUUUCCACGCCACCAUCCUUAAAAUAUCCACAAGGUGGCACGCAGGACCAGGGCAAGAGCACAGUUGGCCUACCAGUCCUCAGAAGGCUUACUUGCUAAAUAGCAGGCAGAGUGAUGACAUUUGGAUGGCAUUACUAACCACAACUUGAGCAGUCUACUUAAGUCAAACUAGGCAGGGCAGGUUCAGCCUGGACGUAAACUUGACUGAAGAUCAGGCGAAUGCCACACAGUAAGAGUGAGGGCACACUGUGCUCUUCACAGGGCCUCAUUUUUUGAUGUGAGUCAAAAAAGGGGGAAAUCAGGCUCAAUCCCAAACUCUCUGCUGGAUGUUGGUGUACUAUUUGCUGUCUGUGGCAGGGUGGUUGGACUGCAUGGCUAGGCCCUGCUCAUUUCCCCACCAGCUGUGAUGUGAAGGGAUGGUAGGCUGAGGAACUCAUGAACCAUUCCAUUGUAGGUGGGUGGCUUCAAUCUGGGGUUAGUUUGAGACCAUGGCAGCAUCAGUGAACCUGAAAAGGUCGGCAGGAGGCAAUGAUGGAUGUCCUGUGGCUCAUCUCUCGGCUGGCUGGCUAGAGACGGCAGUGCUUCACACACAAUGAGGGAUGUAUGCACGCUGUGGAGAGCAGGAGUGCCCGUCCUGACCAUUGUUAGUACAGAUUCUCCCCGAUGGAGCAUAGCCUGACCGUGACCUCACAUCAUGCUAGCC